GUUUGAUCCUGGCUCAGAAUCAACGCUGGCGGCGCGCCUAACACAUGCAAGUCGAACGAGAAAGGGGAGCAAUCCCUGAGUACAGUGGCGUACGGGUGAGUAACACGUGGAUGAUCUACCUUUUAGUGAGGAAUAACCAAGGGAAACCGUGGCUAAUACCGCAUAAGCCCGAGAGGGGAAAGUCGAAAGACGCUGAAAGAGGAGUCCGCGGCCGAUUAGCUAGUUGGUAGGGUAAAAGCCUACCAAGGCAAAGAUCGGUAGCCGGCCUGAGAGGGCACACGGCCACACUGGCACUGAAACACGGGCCAGACUCCUACGGGAGGCAGCAGUGGGGAAUCUUGCACAAUGGGGGAAACCCUGAUGCAGCGACGCCGCGUGAGCGAUGAAGCCCUUCGGGGUGUAAA
rnacentral:rRNA from 1 species